UGGGGAAUAUUGCACAAUGGGCGGAAGCCUGAUGCAGCGACGCCGCGUGGGGGAUGACGGCCUUCGGGUUGUAAACCUCUUUCGCCAGGGAAGAAGCUAACGUGACGGUACCUGGAGAAGAAGCACCGGCUAACUACGUGCCAGCAGCCGCGGUAAUACGUAGGGUGCGAGCGUUGUCCGGAAUUAUUGGGCGUAAAGAGCUUGUAGGCGGUUUGUCGCGUCUGCGGUGAAAUUUCGGGGCUUAACCCCGGACGUGCCGUGGGUACGGGCAGGCUAGAGUGUGGUAGGGGAGACUGGAAUUCCUGGUGUAGCGGUGAAAUGCGCAGAUAUCAGGAGGAACACCGAUGGCGAAGGCAGGUCUCUGGGCCAUAACUGACGCUGAGAAGCGAAAGCAUGGGGA
rnacentral:rRNA from 1 species